rnacentral:rRNA from 1 species
GACGAACGCUGGCGGCGUGCCUAACACAUGCAAGUCGAGCGAGGUUGCGGAUGGGUGCUUGCACCCUGAAGCUACCUAGCGGCGGACGGGUGAGUAACGCGUGAGUAACCUGCCUUAUACAGGGGGAUAACAACGAGAAAUCGUUGCUAAUACCGCAUAAGACCACGGUAUCGCAUGGUACAGGGGUAAAAGGAGCAAUCCGGUAUAAGAUGGACUCGCGUCCCAUUAGCUAGUUGGUGAGAUAACAGCCCACCAAGGCAACGAUGGGUAGCCGACCUGAGAGGGUGAUCGGCCACACUGGGACUGAGACACGGCCCAGACUCCUACGGGAGGCAGCAGUGGGGAAUAUUGGGCAAUGGGCGAAAGCCUGACCCAGCAACGCCGCGUGAAGGAAGAAGGUCUUUCGGAUUGUAAACUUCUGUCGUCAGGGACGAAAAAGGACGGUACCUGGCAAGAAAGCCCCGGACUAACUACGUG